UGAUGAGGAGUUAAUCGGGAUGCGCUC
rnacentral:piRNA from 1 species